rnacentral:lncRNA from 1 species
GCUGACACUACCGGUUGACGCCACUGGUUGACGUUACUGGGUGACGUUGCCAGUUGACACUACCAGGUGACACCAGCGGUUGACAGUUCCAAUACUACCGGGUGACACCACUGGUUGACACCACUCGUUGACACUACGGGGUNGAAGAGUCACGGGAUCGUAGGGUUAUAGGAUCAUGGGAUAGAAGAGUCAUGGGAUCCCACCCCAACCAUUUUAGGAUCCCAUGGUUCCAUGAUCCUAAAGGUCCCUCCCACCCCAACCAUUGUAGGAUCCCAUGGUUCCAUAAUCCUUAAGGUCCCUCCCAACCCAACCAUUUUGGGAUCCCAUGGUUCCAUGACCCUACAGGUCCCUCCCACCCCAACCACUGUAGGAUUCCACAGUUCCAUGGUCCUAAAGGUUUCUUCCACCCCAACCAUUUUGGGAUCCCAUGGUUCCAUGACCCUAAAGGUUCCUCCCACCCCAACCAUUGUAGGAUCCCAUGGUUCCAUGACCCUAAAGGUCCCUCCCACCCCAACCAUUGUAGGAUCCCACGGUUCCAUGAUCCUAAAGGUCCAUCCCACCUCAACCACUGUAGGAUCCCAUGGUUCUGUGAUCCCAUAGGUCCCCCUCACCCCAACCAUUUUGGGAUCCCAUGGUUCUGUAAUCCUUAAGGUCCCUCCCACCCCAACCAUUGUAGGAUCCCACAGUUCCAUGGUCCUAAAGGUUUCUUCCACCCCAACCAUUUUGGGAUCCCGUGGUUCCGUGACCCUAAAGGUCCCCCCCACCCCAAGGACGUUGGGAUUUCGUGGUGCUAUGAGCUCUAAGCCCCCCACCCCACCCCACUUUGGGACCCCCUGGCUCCCUUUGCAGGCGAACCCCCUGGAUGUCACCAAGCUGAUCUACUGCUCCCGCACGGUGCCGGAGAUCGAGAAGGUCGGAUGUGGGGCGAGGAA